rnacentral:lncRNA from 1 species
CCAUAAUGGAAUAGACUGUAGGCUAUCUAACUCCAAACGGACAUCAGGAGACCAACGUCGUAGAAUCAUUGGAUGACCGCGGAUAGUCCAGAAUCCUUCGAGGAUUCGUUGCAAAUCUUCUUCAGAGUAUAGCUUGCAAACAAAGAAUCCGUUCUCCAGCAUAUGAAGAUCAAAUGACGAUAUUCCCCAUCGAGUUUUGAU